AUGUCUUUGUGCUGUAUUCCUGUGAUAUUGUCAUCUGCAAGGCAGGUGCAAAAUCCUGCCCAUAGCAAGGCACAAGUGUAAUGGGAACAGGCACUGGAGACACAUCUUGGUAAACAGAGCUGCUUGCAACCUUGUUAGCCCUUCCGGACAGCUGUCCUCCACAGACCUGGCCCUGGAUGGAAUAUCAGCCAGCAGAGAUGAGUUUUUAGUACCUCCAGGAUUAUUUUGGAAAGAAAUUCUCUUUACAAGAUGGGAAGAGUCCACAGAGAACUCAUACAGGUCCCCACGGAUGGACUGUGAGCAGAGCAAGGCUGCCAUGCUCUCCAGAGACAGUAGCUGCUGGUAGCUGGGUCUCUCACAGAAUUAAAAGAUUGAUGGCUUCUUCUCUAUCCAUUCAGUGGAAUGAAUGACACCAUGGCUUUACUUCCUGAUCUCUGCAGACCUCCCUGGGUAUGAAGACAGUACAAUCGAAAGCUAAGAAUUUCCCCUUUCAAGUGGUGAAUAAAAACUCUCAGCUCUUUUUUUUCUUUCUUCUGAAGAAAGUGGAAAAGCCUGUCUUCAGAAGGCUUGAUCUCAGGUCAGCAUCUCAUUGAAGCCAG